GAACGCGGAAUCUGGAGGGAGCCUAAAGUGACGAGCCGGCGGGAGAAGAGCAAGGUGUUCCACACUGAUUCUCGUGACUUUAAGGACCAGGGAUUUGAAGAGGUAUUAGCUCUUCCCAGGAAGAGAGGAAGUUUCUGGAAGAGAAGGGAAAGACGGCAGACGCUGCGCUGGGACCAGCAGAGCCUGAGGAGCUGUGGGAAGCUGACAGAGCCCAGCCAAAGGAGCGGGAAGGAGCCGCAGCCCCAGGCUGGCACUGUGUUCUGAAAGAUUUGAACUCAAGCUGCUUUUUACGGAAGAGGGGCCACUUCAGAGGGCACCCCAGAAUUUGGUUGAGCUCUUCUACUCUGGAUGCCCCCUGCUCUGAGGAGCCUGCCACUGAGAACCAAAGAAGAUAAGAGGACAGAUACUUUUUCUUCAAGCACAGAGCUGGUGGGUUGGAGUCAGGCAUCUGCACCCCAGUGGCUGUCUGGUGAGGAAUUUCUUGUUUCUUCCCAGCUUGCGGCUUCAGUGCUUGAUGGGGCUGCCUGUUGGUGGAUCAGUUUUUGCAGUGCCUGGUAGGAGUGGAGAGCCGUGGGAAGAGGUCCCGCGGCGCCCAAGCCUGGGUUCACCCCAAGACUAAGUUCUUUCCCAAGUUAGAGAAGGAGAGAGAAAGCAAAAAGAAGAGAGGAAAGUUCUCCCUUCCCCUCCUCCGUGCCUGUCAUGUCCUCUAAGCCAGAGCCGAAGGACGUCCACCAACUGAACGGGACUGGCCCUUCUGCCUCUCCCUGCUCUUCAGAUGGCCCAGGGAGAGAGCCCUUGGCUGGGACCUCAGAGUUCCUGGGGCCUGAUGGGGCUGGGGUAGA
rnacentral:sRNA from 1 species